rnacentral:rRNA from 1 species
GCGGACGGGUGAGUAACACGUGGGCAACCUGCCUAUAAGAGUGGGAUAACUUCGGGAACCGGAGCUAAUACCGGAUACGUUCUUUUCUCGCAUGAGAGAAGAGGGAAAGACGGUUUACGCUGUCACUUAUAGAUGGGCUCGCGGCGCAUUAGCUAGUUGGUGAGGUAAUGGCUCACCAAGGCGACGAUGCGUAGCCGACCUGAGAGGGUGAUCGGCCACACUGGGACUGAGACACGGCCCAGACUC